CCUACGGGAGGCUGCAGUGAGGAAUAUUGGUCAAUGGACGAGAGUCUGAACCAGCCAAGUAGCGUGAAGGAUGACUGCCCUAUGGGUUGUAAACUUCUUUUAUAUGGGAAUAAAAUGUUCCACGUGUGGGAUUUUGUAUGUACCCUAUGAAUAAGGAUCGGCUAACUCCGUGCCAGCAGCCGCGGUAAUACGGAGGAUCCGAGCGUUAUCCGGAUUUAUUGGGUUUAAAGGGAGCGUAGGUGGAUUGUUAAGUCAGUUGUGAAAGUUUGCGGCUCAACCGUAAAAUUGCAGUUGAAACUGGCAGUCUUGAGUACAGGAGAGGUGGGCGGAAUUCGUGGUGUAGCGGUGAAAUGCUUAGAUAUCACGAAGAACUCCGAUUGCGAAGGCAGUUCACUGGACUGCAACUGACACUGAGGCUCGAAAGUGUGGGUAUCAAACAGGAUUAGAUACCCGUGUAGUC
rnacentral:rRNA from 1 species